rnacentral:rRNA from 1 species
GAUGAACGCUGGCGGCGUGCCUAAUACAUGCAAGUCGAGCGAACGGACGAGAAGCUUGCUUCUCUGAUGUUAGCGGCGGACGGGUGAGUAACACGUGGAUAACCUACCUAUAAGACUGGGAUAACUUCGGGAAACCGGAGCUAAUACCGGAUAAUAUUUUGAACCGCAUGGUUCAAAAGUGAAAGACGGUCUUGCUGUCACUUAUAGAUGGAUCCGCGCUGCAUUAGCUAGUUGGUAAGGUAACGGCUUACCAAGGCAACGAUGCAUAGCCGACCUGAGAGGGUGCUCGGCCACACUGGAACUGAGACACGGUCCAGACUCCUACGGGAGGCAGCAGUAGGGAAUCUUCCGCAAUGGGCGAAAGCCUGACGCAGCAACGCCGCGUGAGUGAUGAAGGUCUUCGGAUCGUAAAACUCUGUUAUUAGGGAAGAACAUAUGUGUAAGUAACUGUGCACAUCUUGACGGUACCUAAUCAGAAAGCCACGGCUAACUACGUG